GGGCCCCUCCCUAGGCGCAAGGUGCUCAUGGUUGCCGUUCCCUUUUCCCAAAGUGUCAUCCUCUUUGGGAGGCUUAUAAAGCAGUCUCUGGCCCAGGGAGAGGGAAGACCCAAGGCCUAACCACUUAUGAUCCAUCUUCUACAGGUAACAGAUUGAGGUUCCUCAAUCCUCAACUCAUUGCCAGGAUCAGCCAUGUUUCUAGUCUGUACCUUGGGAUUCCUCCUUGGGAUGUUGGUCCCAUUCUGUGAAGCCUACUCAGCAAGGAUUGUGGUCAGGAUUAACCAGGCAGCCCUGGACUAUGUGGCACAGAUAGGGCGCACGGCUUUCCAGAACGCCCUGAAGAUCCAACUCCCUGAUCUCCUUGACCCAAAAGAAGGCUACUUCCAACGAACCUCGUAAGUUCCC
rnacentral:lncRNA from 1 species